GGCUCUCUGAAGAUGAAGAUCCGGUGAUCACACAGGUCAACCAAAGAAUUGCUGAUGUCACUGGUCUAGAAUUGGAGACAGCAGAGGAGCUCCAGAUAGCAAAUUAUGGAAUUGGAGGCCAAUAUGAGCCACAUUAUGACUCAAAGUUGACAAAUGACUCAGACUUUCAACGCAGAGGAGGCCGAAUUUCUACUGUCCUAAUUUAUUUGAGUGAUGUGGACAUUGGUGGGGCAACAGUGUUCCCUAUCAUUGGUGCGGCACUUCAGCCAAAGAGAGGUACAGCAGUGCUGUGGUUUAACCAUCUAAGAAAUGGAAAUGAAGAUGCCAGGACUUUACAUGCAGCAUGUCCGGUGUUUGUAGGC